rnacentral:rRNA from 1 species
UACGUAGGGGGCAAGCGUUGUCCGGAAUCAUUGGGCGUAAAGAGCGUGUAGGCGGCCAGAUAAGUCCGCUGUGAAAUCUCGAGGCUCAACUUCGAGCUGUCGGUGGAAACUGUCUGGCUAGAGUCCGGAAGAGGAGAAUGGAAUUCCUGGUGUAGCGGUGAAAUGCGCAGAUAUCGGGAGGAACACCGGUGGCGAAGGCGGCGACCUGGGUAGAUACUGACGCUGAGGAGCGAAAGCGUGGGGAGCGAACAGG